UUUGUAUUUUCUGUCGAGAUUUUAAUAAACUUCGAUAUGUUUGGUCAGUACUGCUCGAUCAAGCAGGUCACGCGAUCGUUCAGGGAGGAAACUGGACAACGGAAUACGUUUUUUCAGCUUUUAUUCGUGGAAAAAACAAGGGAAGUCGGUGCAGGAGCUGACGAAAAGACGCCGGGUAGCGUGGUUUGCCUGCUGCAAUCAGGAGAAAAACGUCUACUUUUCAAAAAAAAAAUCCCUGCAUCGGCGAGAGUGUGUUCGCUGCAUUUUCAGUAAUUUGUGUGAUUAAUAAAAGCAGAACCACUUAAAUUGUCUUGUUUUUAUGCUAACACUGUCAAACUAACUUGUAAAUGUAAGUUAUUGAUAGAUUGAUUCAUUAAUUUCUGAUCACCCUAACCACUUGAGUUAUAAAAAUAAAUAUUUAGACAAUUUUGACAAUUAUAACAAAUAUUUUUUAUUAAAUGCAACUGCUCAAAACCACUGCUUGUGACUCUUUAAAUAACAUAACGUUAGCUAAAUAUUUAACAUUUUGUUUGUUUUAAUAACUUGGCCAAAACAGAAGUGCCAUCUUAUGAACAUGUGUUGAUUCAUCGCACAGAAUACAACGGAGAAUUGUUUUAUAGAAUCAUUAAUGUAAGGGCAAUCCAUCUAGAAUUUCUUCAAACCCUUUCUUUCCAUGAAUUAGAGCGUAUUUGACUCGGACAACCAUCAGCCUCUUACAGUAUCCUUCUUUAAAUGUAUUUAUUAUCAAAAUUACUGAAAAAAAAACUAAUGUUACAGGUCAAAAAACUGUGAUGCUCCCAUCUUUCUUUUCUCUAAAAAAAAACUAGGUCAACUCGACCAAUUAUCUUAAUGGAGCUUCAAAAUAAAAGUUUUCCAAAAUUGCAAAUUACACAUAAUAUUUUUGCUCAUUAAACACAGAUCUAAACACAAUAUACAUGAAUUAACAAUAAACUUUGAAUAUGGCUCUUACAAUUAAGACAUUGUCAGUAAAUAGCUGGUUUGCCAACCGUCAUAAGACUUCAAAAGAAGAAGUGUCAUCUUACUAUUCACCUUAUUUUUCACGACAACAAGGGCGGCGCCAUUUCGCUCAUUUUGUCAACGUUCUUCCGGCCGCAUAGACGAUGAGCAGCUGAGGCAGUGACUGAAGGCGACGCGUUAAGCUUAAAAAGCUCACUCGAGCGCCUUUAUGUUUCUUUCUUACCAAUUUUAAGCCAACUGAGGAACACCCUUAUCCCAAGUAAUGGUUCGACUACGAUGUUCCGGUAACUUUAAACCACGCAGGGUGUUGAAAAGGUGGCCAGUUUCAGAUGCAUUGAUGUGUAGUGAUGCAGUGGACAACUGUGAGGAUGAUACAAUCAACAUGUUCCUAAACUGUGAUGCAGAAACACAAUGAGAGGAUCCAUCCGUCUCUGACCACAACUACACUUUAAAAUCACAAAUCAACCUGAAGCAACCUACAUCUGAUAUGGGAAAACAAUGGUGCAGUUUCCCUGACAGGGCUUAUCCUGGUCCCAGGCUAAAAUGCAUAUUUGAGCUACAAUAAUUUAAAAACACCUUUUACUGACAUACCUCAACAUAUAUGAGUGCCAUUGUUUUGUCACAAGAUGCGCACCAGUCUUGUUUUUUUGUAGGGUUUGUUUGUAAAAACUAAAAUGUCCUAAUAUAAUUAAAUCCUAGUCCUGUAAACCCUGUCCGAGAAACUGCUUCAAUGUGUUGAGCUGGCACAAAUGUACAGAAACAACCAUCUUUUUGUCAGCUUUACAGAGGGUUGAUAUUGCAUCCAUUACACAGUCGCCAAGCACUUUACCAGUACAUACACCAACAGCUUCCAGAUAAACACUUGGGAUCAGCUCCUGAUGACUCUUAUAAAGCUGUAUCUUAAUUUAUUGCAGGGUGGUCUUGCUUUACCUGUUGUAAAGUUACAUUAAACCUUCAUAUGUGAUUAGGUGUCAUGCAGUGAUAUUAAACAUUUACAAUGUGAUCAGAUGUUGUGCAAUUAUAUUAAACCUUUACAAUGUGAUCAGAUGUUGUGCAAUUAUAUUAAACCUUUACAAUGUGAUCAGAUGUUGUGCAAUUAUAUUAAACCUUUACAAUGUGAUCAGAUGUUGUGCGUUUAUAUUAAACCUUUACAAUGUGAUCAGAUGUCAUGCAGUGAUAUUAAACAUUUACAGUGUGAUCAGAUGUUGUGCAUUUAUAUUAAACCUUUACAAUAUGAUCAGAUGUUGUGCAGUUAUAUUAAACCUUUACUAUGUGAUCAGCUGUUACCUGUCAUGCAGUUAUAUUAAACAUUUACUAUGUGA